rnacentral:rRNA from 1 species
UUUAAAAUUAAAAGAAAUUGGGGGGGGCCCCCCCCAAGGGGGGGGGCCUGGGGUUUAAUUUGAAGCAACGGGAAAAACCUUACCCGGGCUUGACAUGCUUGGAACUUUCCAGAAGAUGGGUUGGUGCCUUUGGGAAUUCAGACACAGGUGGUGCAUGGGUUUUGUUCAGCUCGUGUUGUGAGAUGUUGGGUUAAGUCCCGUAACGAGCGCAACCCUUGUCUUUAGUUACCAGCACCUUGGGUGGGCACUCUAAGGAGACUGCCGGUGACAAACCGGAGGAAGGUGGGGAUGACGUCAAGUCAUCAUGGCCCUUACGGCCAGGGCUACACACGUGCUACAAUGGUCGGUACAAAGGGUUGCCAAGCCGCGAGGUGGAGCUAAUCCCAUAAAACCGAUCGUAGUCCGGAUCGCAGUCUGCAACUCGACUGCGUGAAGUCGGAAUCGCUAGUAAUCGUGAAUCAGAAUGUCACGGUGAAUACGUUCCCGGGCCUUGUACACACCGCCCGUCACACCAUGGGAGUGGGUUGCUCCAGAAGUAG